UACGUAGGUGGCAAGCGUUGUUCGGAUUCAUUGGGUGUAAAGGGCAGGUAGGCUGUUUUGCAAGUCCGGCGUGAAAUCCCCCGGCUUAACCUGGGAACUGCGUCUGAUACUGGGAGGCUUGAGUAUGGGAGAGGGAUGUAGAAUUCCAGGUGUAGCGGUGAAAUGCGUAGAUAUCUGGAGGAAUACCGGUGGCGAAGGCGGCAUCCUGGACCAUAACUGACGCUGAGGCGCGAAAGCUAGGGGAGCAAACGGG
rnacentral:rRNA from 1 species